AGUGGCGGACGGGUGAGUAACGCGUGGGUAACCUGCCUUAUACCGGGGGAUAACACUUAGAAAUAGGUGCUAAUACCGCAUAAGCGCACAGUACCACAUGGUACAGUGUGAAAAACUCCGGUGGUAUAAGAUGGACCCGCGUCUGAUUAGCUAGUUGGCGGGGUAACGGCCCACCAAGGCAACGAUCAGUAGCCGGCCUGAGAGGGUGAACGGCCACAUUGGGACUGAGACACGGCCCAAACUCCUACGGGAGGCAGCAGUGGGGAAUAUUGCACAAUGGGGGAAACCCUGAUGCAGCGACGCCGCGUGAGUGAAGAAGUAUUUCGGUAUGUAAAGCUCUAUCAGCAGGGAAGAAGAAAUGACGGUACCUGACUAAGAAGCCCCGGCUAACUACGUGCCAGCAGCCGCGGUAAUACGUAGGGGGCAAGCGUUAUCCGGAUUUACUGGGUGUAAGGGGAGCGUAGACGGCAAUGCAAGUCUGAAGUGAAAGGCCGGGGCUCAACCCCGGGACUGCUUUGGAAACUGUGUAGCUGGAGUACAGGAGAGGUAAGUGGAAUUCCUAGUGUAGCGGUGAAAUGCGUAGAUAUUAGGAGGAACACCAGUGGCGAAGGCGGCUUACUGGACUGUAACUGACGUUGAGGCUCGAAAGCGUGGGGAGCAAACAGGAUUAGAUACCCUGGUAGUCCACGCCGUAAACGAUGAUCACUAGGUGU
rnacentral:rRNA from 1 species